rnacentral:snRNA from 1 species
AGCUUUGCGCAGUGACAGUAUCAUAGCCAUCAUGAGUUUUAUCUGGGGUAUGAUUAUUGCUAAUUGUAAUACUACAGGAGAAUGCCCUGGACUAGAGAUCAAGGACGUAUUCAUCUUCAGUGUGACUUUGAGACAUCAGUUUUUGUCAUCUG